rnacentral:tRNA from 1 species
CGACGGCUGGCCGACGCAGGCCAACGGUGAACCGCUGCUGGCGGACCUGGCCUUUCGCGAUGGACGGAUCGCCGCCGUGACGCCGUCC